rnacentral:misc_RNA from 1 species
UUUCCUUUUUGCAGAAAAGGCGUUGAUUUGCAUUUGUCCUCGAUUUGAUUUAUCUUUCUUCUCCGCUAUUUCAAUUUCAUUUUUUACAUACGCUACCAUUUGAUUUUCUUCUAUCAAUGCAUCUGUUAUAUCCGCUGCAACUGUAUUCUUCGGGUAAUGUAUUCAGCAUGUAAUUUAGUUUUUCCCUCUCACUCACUUGUGCGCCCGCACAUUUAAAUUCGUUUAUUAAUCCUUCGAAAUCGCUAAAGAACGAUGCUGAAUCACUAUAGUUCUCAAGUCUUAUCUUUUCCAAUCUCCUUCUGCAUACGAUCCGUAGUGCUGUCGACUCUUUCAAGUACAUUUCAUCAAACUUUUUUAUUAUCUCAUACGCCGUUUUUUCUUCUCUAAUAUACUCCAAUUCUCUAAUAUACUCUAUUUGUGAUGGCACUAUAAAUUAUAUUUGUCGGAUGCACAUCCCUUUUAUCCCAAUCUUCACUGUCUGUUUCGGUCUUCACUCUAGUUGUGACAAUCUCGCAUUCUUUAUACCUGAGAAACAUCGUUAUACUUUGCUUCCACAUACUGUAAUCCUCACCAUCGAAUACAGGUAUCAUGAUUUCCGAUCUCUCCAUUUUAAAUGAUUCCUUAUCUCUUACUCAAGCGUUCAUACGUGCUCUAAAUAUAUUGUUCCUCUUUGUAACCUUUGAACGUUUCUUCCCUUACUGAAAACUCACUCGAACUAACUUGCAAGAUUGAAAACCACGCACUAAAUAACUUGCAAAACUAUGAACCACGCUCUGCUACCAUGUAAAGAUAUAGGAGGGAUUCGGAAAUACAAAAAAUUUUCUUUAUUUAGCACACAACAGUUAUACAUAUAUCUUAUACUCUAAAGACCUUGAAAUCCUACUCGCAUGCACGCUUGUUGUCAACCGACUCUUCUAGAUACUUCUAACGACUGACUAUUGUCUUCUGUCCCAACUAAG